AUGAACGCUGGCGGCGUGCCUCAUACCUGCAAGUCGCGCGAACAGACGAGGAGCUUGCUCCUCUGACGUUAGCGGCGGACGGGUGAGUAACACGUGGAUAACCUACCUAUAAGACUGGGAUAACUUCGGGAAACCGGAGCUAAUACCGGAUAAUAUAUUGAACCGCAUGGUUCAAUAGUGAAAGACGGUUUUGCUGUCACUUAUAGAUGGAUCCGCGCCGCAUUAGCUAGUUGGUAAGGUAACGGCUUACCAAGGCAACGAUGCGUAGCCGACCUGAGAGGGUGAUCGGCCACACUGGAACUGAGACACGGUCCAGACUCCUACGGGAGGCAGCAGUAGGGAAUCUUCCGCAAUGGGCGAAAGCCUGACGGAGCAACGCCGUGUGAGUGAUGAAGGUCUUCGGAUCGUAAAACUCUGUUAUUAGGGAAGAACAAAUGUGUAAGUAACUAUGCACGUCUUGACGGUACCUAAUCAGAAAGCCACGGCUAACUACGUG
rnacentral:rRNA from 1 species